rnacentral:lncRNA from 1 species
CUCUACAGGCCAAUCCUCCGUGCUACCUCCUUUCACUUCUCAUUAUGGACAACUAAGUAAAGAUUUUGAAGACAAGUUACACGACUGUUUGCUAUUGGGAGUUCAGCAUUGGUACUAAAUUAAAAUGAAAGAUCGUCCCCUUUGGUUGGAUCAUAUUCUUGGGAAUAGGCUGUAGUUUUUUUUGCUAUCAAUCAUGGAGUUCCGAUAUUUGAUUAUUAAGAAAAAUCGUUCACCAUGGCAUAAGUUCAUCUGUCUUGCUUACGAUUGGGAGCUCGAUGUAGCCAUUUGUCACAAAUGGUUGAGCUCCUAUUGAUCUUCUUGCUUUAGUAGCACCUAUUCUAAGCUUAAGUUCUAAGGCUCGCGAAGUAGAAAGACUGCUCUGUCUGUCCAACUUAAACUUUUACAAUAUUGGCAUACAAAUUUCAAUGGGUAAAUUUAUUUUUGGAUAGUUUCUGACUUCUCCAUUUUCAUAGUGUGGAUUGAUUUUAAUGUUAACCCUUUUGUGGUACCUAAAAGCUAGAGGACUUUGGCACCUUUCAUGCCUAGAGAUUUAGCUUCUAAAUGGUCUGUGGGGCUAGAAAUGUCUCUUUACGAGUGUUUAAGGGUACGACCAAAUGACAUUUGUCCUCAAAGGGGUUUGGGAGAUCGAAGUAUCCUAUUGCUACCUCAGCUCAAGGGUCUUUGCCCUUGUUAUUCCAUACCAUCUCGUGUCAGGGAUCCUUUCAAAAGAAAAGAAAAUGAUAAGUGGGUUUGAGUAGAUUACAGGUCCCGAAGUUAUUUAUUUCCUUAGAAAAUUUACUCCAAAUUCAAAAUUUCUAUUCAACCCUUACCUAAUUGAAGAGUUAGAUUUAAGAGUUCUAUCUAUGCUUUCUCUUUUUGUUCUUCAGAUUGUGAGAUUUGUCUUCAAUUAUUUUAACCAGUCCUGGAAGAGAUUAGCGUAGGAGCUCACGCCAAUGCAAAGGGAAAAAAUGACCGACGCUCAUCUAAUGUGAGCUGUUGUCUUACAUCAUGAUUAGCAAGCAAAGUAUGAAGUUUGUGAUUUGCGAGCUGACAGAUUGGACGAGAAGUACAAUUGUUAAAGAAGAAAUGUACUAUCUUUCAGAGGAAGUUGGAGGAAGUGGAAAAGGAUUAGUCUGAGUUAAACUUAACAAAGAUACUGAUGUCUUUGCAACAAAGGAAGCUACUCUAUUAGCCGAUGUUCAGCGGGUCUCUAUGGACUUAGAACAGGCUAAGAUGAACCAUCAGCCUACACUCAGAGGGUUGCCCGCGAUGUUAAAUACACUAAGGGAAGAGCUUCUAUUGGUGAAAGCAGAGCAUUAUGUUAACACCAAGGAUCUUGAAGAUACAAGGGAUGAAAUGGUUGUACUAGUAAUCAAUUGGAAAGUAGUGAGACAAAGCUGGCUUUUACGGAGUCUACCCUUGCUGAAGUAAGUGCUUGCGAGACAAAGCUUGUUGAUGAAGUAAUGCAGGAAGGAGUUGACAAGGUUUAGGAGCUUUCAUCCUAAAUGGAAAAUGGACUUUUUGGAGGCUAGCGAAGAUGUUGAGACAACCUUAUCUCUUGAGGUUCCUCCAUCAACCUCUAAGGCUCUAGCUACAUCGUCCAUUCCUAUCGAACCUUUCCAACCCACGAAUUCCAAGACUGUUCUUCUCAACGAAGCUAUUAUUAUUGCUAAGUCAGCUGAUGCUCCUACUUUCUCUUCUUAUCUAAAGUGAUUAUACCCUUUGAGGAUUCAGCUUUUGGAAAUCUUCAACCUCCGGUUAAUUUGGAUAAAUAAUUUUCUUUUGUCUUAUUUUCUUAUUGUAAUGUUAUUUUUACUAGUAUUUCAGAUAGAUUUAUUAAUCUACCAUUUUGUGUUUUUUUUUAUUAAAGCUCGCAUUUCAACUCGAUUGUCAUUUAAUCAUGCUUCGUACAAGCCCGCGAUGUUAAAAACACUUAGAGAAGAGCUUUUGUUGGUGAAGGCAGAGCAUUAUGUUACAACCAAGGAUCUUGAAUAUAUGAGGGAUGAAAUGGUUUUACUAGCAAUCAACUGGAAAGUAGUGAGCCAAAGCUAGCCAUUAUGGUGUCUACCCUUGCUAAAGUAAGUGCUUGCGAGAUAAAGCUUGUUGAUGAAGUAAUGCAGGAAGGAGUUGACAAGGUUUAGGAGCUUUCAUCCUAAAUGGAAAAUGGAC